AUGUGCACCUCCUUCUCGAGUUUCUUUAAACGCCUGCGUCUUCCCAUCUCUCUAGCUAUUCUCUCUUUAGCCAGAUGUGCUUCCUCUUGCAGCCGCUGUCCUUCUCUGGCUUGUGCAUCCAAUGCUGCCGCUUCUAAGUCAGCUUUCCUUUCCUCUUCUAUUUCCUGUUGUAGGUCAGCUAGCUCCAAUCCUUUGAUCUCCUCCUCUAAAGCUGACCGGUAACUUGUCAAACUCCUAGCUCUGGUUGACUGAGCCUGGUCUGGUUGUCCUACAGGGGUAGAAGAGGCUUGGACCACAGGCUGUUGAUAGGGCAGAAAAUUGACUUCGUACUGGGCCAAAUGUGCAGGUGGACGAGGGUCUCUCUUGGGUCGGUCCGAUGACUCCUGUUGCUGACCAUCAGUUGCUGACUCCAUAGUGUCGGUGGAACCCUAAAUCCGGCUCGAAGGACCAAUGUAAAGUAUGGACUAGGGGUUCGUUUUAGGAUGGGAGCACUACAGAAAGAUUCCGGCCAGAGAAUCCUUUAUCAGCUUUAUUUUCAAGAUCAGGAUGCCAAUAUACAAGUUCGUAUAAGUGUGUAUGUGGUUUGCUUUCCAUAAACGCACACGAAAGUAAAGAAAAGGGUCUCUGAGUCUUCUCUCGUCAUCCCUGAGCGCGAACAACUGAGCAGCGCGCUGCAUUUUCCUGUCCAGGCGCAGUUCACGUGAUGGAGCAUUCACGCGCUUAGAAAACUUCAGCGCUGAACAAAUAGGCUUUCAGACAGGCUAUAAUCAUAAUCUGUAAAGAUGCACUUCUCUCUAAAGGCGCGUCUAAUGAGAUGAUGUCGAGUCAGGAUCAGCAACUUCAUCCUUGCGACACAUUCCAUUCCGGGCUGGAAUGCAGGACUCUAGCACGUUAACAUAGAAACACGCACACAGAAUAGCGCUCAUUCUAGGCUUCUUUACUAUUGCACUGUGCAUUCCUCUCACAGUAUAUGGGUGGAACAUACCAACUAUACAAACUGUGUGGGGGUAACCUAAACUGAACCAAAUACUAUGAUUCAUUACUUUCCAUACUUUCACCCAGAGUGCUUUCUUUUUAAGCAACAAACUAAAUCAAAAUGACCAGCACAUGAUGCAUCCAGUUUUAUGUUGGACAUGAUGUUGCCGGCCAACACAGUGCAAAUUAUUUAUUGUACAAAAGUAACUGAAGUGUACAUAAUAUCACUGAUAUUUCAUUGACAUUAAUACAUGAGUAAGAGAUUGUUUAUGAACUAAAUCUUUACAUAUCAUUCUGGCUUUCUUUUUAAGUACAACAAACUAAAUACAAAAUGACCACGACACAUGAUGCAUCCAGUUUUAUGUUGGACAUGAUGUUGCCGGCCAACACAGUGCUAAAUUAUUUAUUGUCAAAAGUAACUGAAGUGUACAUAAUAUCACUGAUAUUUCAUUGACAUUAAUACAUGAGUAAGAGAUUGUUUAUGACUAAAUCUUUACAUAUCAUUCUGAUGAUAAACUGAAGUGAAAUGAGAUGAAGACAUUCACUGUUUGUUUUAAUAUUUAUUAUUUCAGUUGGUUUGAGUUUCAUUGGAAGCAGUUUUUUCGGUGAGUGUUACAUCUGUUUGAUGUGGAGAUGUGAGUUACGUGCACUAAUACAUACACUUUUUAAAUGUUUACUUUGUUUAUACAUAUCAAAGCAAGAUAUCAAUAAGCAGCAAAUGAAAUCAAAGUCCACUUAUACAUGCGUACAUAAUAUCACUGAUAUUUCAUUGACAUUAAUACAUGAGUAAGAGAUUGUUUAUGACUAAAUCUUUACAUAUCAUUCUGAUGAUAAACUGAAGUGAAAUGAGAUGAAGACAUUCACUGUUUGUUUUAAUAUUUAUUAUUUCAGUUGGUUUGAGUUUCAUUGGAAGCAGUUUUUUCGGUGAGUGUUACAUCUGUUUGAUGUGGAGAUGUGAGUUACGUGCUACUAAUACAUACACUUUUUAAAUGUUUACUUUGUUUAUACAUAUCAAAGCAAGAUAUCAAUAAGCAGCAAAUGAAAUCAAAGUCCACUUAUACAUGCAUUGUCUUUAUUUCACUUUUAGAAUAACAAAGCAACAUAACUAAAUUAAAAUGACAGGCUGACAUAAUGCAGUUGGUUUAAUGCUGGAUAUGAAGUUACAGGCCAAACCAAAGCAAAUUAUUGAUCAUACAAAAUUGUCAAUAAAAUCAAAUAAUGACAUUUAAUAUUAAAUGUAUUAAUUCCAAUCCGAGUCAGUGAAUAGUGAGUAUCUGCUGAUACUGAUUCCUGAUCCGAUAUUUGAACUUUCCUAGUGCUUGGUGCACACUUAGAGUACAUUAAAGUUAUACAUUUAUUAAAAUUAAUCCAGAUUAUACAGGGAUGUGCAGAGAGUUUUUCAGGGACAGGGACUCAAAUGUAGAAAAAAUAUAUACAGCAGGUAAAAUAAGUAUUGAACACAUCACCAUUUUUCUCAGUAAAUAUAUUUCUAAAGGUGCUGUUGAUAUGAAAUUUUCACCAGAUGUCGAUAACAACCCAAGUAAUCCCUGCAUACAAAGAAAACAACACAAAUAAGUUCAGAUAUUAAGUUAUGUGUAAUAAAAUGGAAUGACACAGGGAAAAAAGUAUUAAACACGCUUACUGAAAUUUAUUAAAUACUUUAUACAAAAGACUUUGUUGGUAAUGACAGCUUCAAGACACCUCCAAGACACCUGAGAAAAAUGGUGACGUGUUCAGUACUUAUAUUACCCAUUGUGUCUGUAUAUAUAUAUAUAUAUAUAUAUAUAUAUAUAUAUAUAUAUAUAUAUAUAUAUAAGUAAAUAUAUUUCUAAGGUGCUGUUGACAUGAAAUUUUCACCAGAUGUCGGUUACAACCCAGUAAUCCAUACAUACAAAGAAACAAAGCAAAUACGUUCAGAAAUUAAGUUAUGUGUAAUAAAAUGGAAUGACAGAGAAAAAGUAUUGAAUUACUGAAAUUUAUUUAAUGCUUUGUAUAAAAGCCUCUGUUGGUAAUGACAGCUUUAAGACGCCUCCUGUAUGGAGAAACUAGUCGCAUGCAUUGCUCAGGUGUGAUUUUAGCCCAUUCUUCCUCACAAACAAACCUUCAAAUCCUGAAGGUUCUGUGAGCCUCUUCUAUGAACUCUGAUCUUUAGUUCUUAUUUUCUGUUGGAUUCAAGUCAGGUGAUUGGCUGGGCCAUUCUAGCAGUUUAACUUUCUUUUUCUGAAACCAAUUGAGUAGUUUCCUUGGCUGUGUUUGGGAUCUUUGUCUUGCUGAAAGGUCCACCUUGUUCAUCUUCAUCCUUUAUGGUACUGUAGAUGUUGGGACUGAACCAACUAAUAUUAAUUUCCACUGACAAGGGGCAGGAUUGGUCAACCAAGCCUCUGCUGGUUGACUAACGAUUAGUUAACUAUUUGGGGGGCAGCCCUAUUAAUUUCUGAACUUAUUAGUUUUCUUUUCUUUGUAUGUAUGGAUUGCUUGGGUUGUUACCG
rnacentral:lncRNA from 1 species